CAGUUUCUACUUGCUGCGGGCAAAUCCAGUGAAUAUGGGUAUCGACGCCGCCAGCUGUCAAAAUCAGCCCUUCCCCUGCAAUCACUUCUGUGGCUGCACCGAGUGGAAUGGUAAUAUUCGGCUGAAUGUCAGGAUUGCCUGCCUUGCCAAUUUUCCAGAUGCGCCCAUUUUUCAGCCCCACAUCGGCUUUGACAAUACCCCACCAAUCCACAAUCAAGGCAUUGGUAAUCACGGUGUCCGCUACGUCAUCGGCAAGUAAUUGAGAUUGCCCCAUACCAUCUCG
rnacentral:sRNA from 1 species